rnacentral:lncRNA from 1 species
GCCUUAGUGACCCAUAUCUGCAGUGGGAAUGAAGCUGAAGUUGAUACCGCCUUAGAUGUCCUCCUAGAGUUGGUAGUGUUAAACCCAUCUGCUAUGAUGAUGAAUGCUGUCUUUGUAAAGGGCAUUUUAGAUUAUCUGGAUAACAUAUCCCCUCAGCAAAUACGAAAACUCUUCUAUGUUCUCAGCACACUGGCAUUUAGCAAACAGAAUGAAGCCAGCAGCCACAUCCAGG